CCUACGGGAGGCAGCAGUGGGGAAUAUUGGACAAUGGGCGAAAGCCUGAUCCAGCCAUGCCGCGUGUGUGAAGAAGGCCUUCGGGUUGUAAAGCACUUUCAGUGGGGAAGAAAGCCUUGGGGCUAAUACCCUCGAGGAAGGACAUCACCCACAGAAGAAGCACCGGCUAACUCCGUGCCAGCAGCCGCGGUAAUACGGAGGGUGCGAGCGUUAAUCGGAAUUACUGGGCGUAAAGCGCGCGUAGGCGGUCUGAUAAGCCGGUUGUGAAAGCCCCGGGCUCAACCUGGGAACGGCAUCCGGAACUGUCAGGCUAGAGUGCAGGAGAGGAAGGUAGAAUUCCCGGGGUAGCGGUGAAAUGCGUAGAGAUCGGGAGGAAUACCAGUGGCGAAGGCGGCCUUCUGGACUGACACUGACGCUGAGGUGCGAAAGCGUGGGUAGCAAACAGGAUUAGAUACCCGAGUAGUC
rnacentral:rRNA from 1 species